CCUACGGGAGGCAGCAGUGGGGAAUUUUGGACAAUGGGCGCAAGCCUGAUCCAGCCAUUCCGCGUGAGUGAAGAAGGCCUUCGGGUUGUAAAGCUCUUUCGCAAGGGAAGAAAGAUUACUCUCUAACAUAGAGUGAUUAUGACGGUACCUUGAUAAGAAGCACCGGCUAACUACGUGCCAGCAGCCGCGGUAAUACGUAGGGUGCGAGCGUUAAUCGGAAUUACUGGGCGUAAAGCGUGCGCAGGCGGUUUUGUAAGUCAGAUGUGAAAUCCCCGAGCUCAACUUGGGAACUGCGUUUGAAACUACAAGACUAGAAUAUGUCAGAGGGGGGUAGAAUUCCACGUGUAGCAGUGAAAUGCGUAGAGAUGUGGAGGAAUACCAAUGGCGAAGGCAGCCCCCUGGGAUAAUAUUGACGCUCAUGCACGAAAGCGUGGGGAGCAAACAGGAUUAGAUACCCUGGUAGUCCACGCCCUAAACGAUGUCUACUAGUUGUUAGGUGGAGUAAAAUCCAUGAGUAACGCAGCUAACGCGUGAAGUAGACCGCCUGGGGAGUACGAUCGCAAGAUUAAAACUUAAAUGAAAUUGACGG
rnacentral:rRNA from 1 species